UGGGGAAUUUUGGACAAUGGGGGAAACCCUGAUCCAGCCAUCCCGCGUGUGCGAUGAAGGCCUUCGGGUUGUAAAGCACUCUUGGCAGGAAAGAAACGUCAUGGGUUAAUACCCCGUGAAACUGACGGUACCAGCAGAAUAAGCACCGGCUAACUACGUGCCAGCAGCCGCGGUAAUACGUAGGGUGCAAGCGUUAAUCGGAAUUACUGGGCGUAAAGCGUGCGCAGGCGGUUCGGAAAGAAAGAUGUGAAAUCCCAGAGCUCAACUUUGGAACUGCAUUUUUAACUACCGGGCUAGAGUGUGUCAGAGGGAGGUGGAAUUCCGCGUGUAGCAGUGAAAUGCGUAGAUAUGCGGAGGAACACCGAUGGCGAAGGCAGCCUCCUGGGAUAACACUGACGCUCAUGCACGAAAGCGUGGGGAGCAAACAGG
rnacentral:rRNA from 1 species